GAUGAAGAACGUAGUGAAAUGCGAUAAGUAAUGUGAAUUGCAGAAUUCAGUGAAUCAUCGAAUCUUUGAACGCACAUUGCGCCCGUCAGUAUUCUGGCGGGCAUGCCUGUUCGAGCGUCAUUACGCCCCUCAAGUCCCCUGUGGACUUGGUGUUGGGGAUCGGCGAGGCUGGUUUUCCAGCACAGCCGUCCCUUAAAUUAAUUGGCGGUCUCGCCGUGGCCCUCCUCUGCGCAGUAGUAAAACACUCGCAACAGGAGCCCGGCGCGGUCCACUGCCGUAAAACCCCCCAACUUUUUAUAGUUGACCUCGAAUCAGGUAGGACUACCCGCUGAACUUAAGCAUAUCAAAAGCGGAGGA
rnacentral:misc_RNA from 1 species